GCUUGCUUCAGUAGCGCAUAUACUAAAAUUGGAUGAUACAGAGAAGAUUAGCGUGGCCCCUGCACAAGGAUGACAUGCAAAUUCAUAAAGUGUUCCAUAUUUUU